UACGGAGGAUGCGAGCGUUAUCCGGAUUUAUUGGGUUUAAAGGGUGCGCAGGCGGCACGGCAAGCCGGCGGUCAAAUCGCGGGGCUCAACCCCGCCCAGCCGUCGGAACUGCCGGGCUAGAGUGGGCGAGAAGUGCGCGGAAUGCGUGGUGUAGCGGUGAAAUGCGUAGAUAUCACGCAGAACUCCGAUUGCGAAGGCAGCGCACCGGCGCCCUACUGACGCUCAGGCACGAAAGCGUGGGUGUCGAACAGG
rnacentral:rRNA from 1 species